rnacentral:lncRNA from 1 species
CUAAAAGGGAAUGUUCCUUUUGUAAUGGUUUAAAUUUUCUCAAAGUACUUUAAGAUGGUUUGUAACCCAGCUGGAUGUGAAUUUAUGGUGCCUAAGAAAUACCACUUGAAUAUUAGCAAUGACAGUGUUAAGUUUCAAAAAAGAGCUUCUCAAAGUAGAUUAUUGUUCAUUUAUAGAAUGUUACAUGGUUAAAACCAGAAAGCACAUCACACUUUAGUCUUUAGUCCCAAGUCAACUGAGUCAUAAAACAACUUAAGAGGCUUUUCAUUAAAUGGAAAAAGAAGCUAUGCUCUUUUAGAAUAUGUGAGAAAGUUACCUAAUUAUGUUUGACUAUUAUAAUGGAUUUAAGUGAAAAAUAGUUUGAAAGCAGCUUCAGAGUUGGUGAUUCACAACAAAUCCAAAAGUAUUUUUUAAUUACUGGUGGUAAACAAUGACCUUCUCAGUGUUUUUCAGCAUUGCUGGGGGUUCUGAACCCUCAGCAGAACUGAGGGGCUAAAGACUUGACCUGUCUUUGAUACACCCAAAUAUGCAGAACUAUCAGAUGGAACCUAAAAGAGCACCUCCUUUCUCUUUGGGGGGUGGGGGCGUGGCCAUCCCAAAAGGAGAAUUAACAUGAGUGUUUGAAGAGCUUCAUAAUAAGCAUAGGAAGAGCUCUGAGCAAGCACACACAGGAAAGCCAGCCUUACUUUAGGAUUUGAGGGGUAGACAGGAGGAAAUGAACAAUUUCAUUUUUACUUGUUCUAUCAUUAGUUCCCCCUUUUAAAUACCCUAAAACUACUUCAUCAUGAAAUGAACAACAAUGUGAUACGCUGAUCUGUCCAAAUGCAAGAAUCAUGGUAGCCUUCAGUGAGCUUUUGAUCUUGGUUGGUCACCCCAACAACUGCAGCUGUAGAUGAAUGUGUUUUUAUGUGCCUGGUUUCAGUGUUCAAAGGGAAAAAUAAACAUGUACAGUGAACACUUUAAACCACUUUGGAUGAAAGUUUUGUCAUGUUCCAGACUAUUUUCAAUCAACCUGGUCCACCGAGGAUUAGUGACCAGGUUUUCAGGAAAGGAUUAGUUUCUCUCUAGUAAAUGUCUGAAAGAUUUUAUUUUCUGAUAAAAGGCUGUUUGAAAAUACCCUCCUGAAAUAACUUGCUUAACUACAUAUAGAUUCAAGUGUGUCAAUAUUCUAUUUUGUAUAUUAAACAAAUGCUAUAUAAUGGGGACAAAUUAUAUUAUACUGUGUAUGGCAUUAUUAAGAAGC